UACGGAGGAUGCGAGCGUUAUCCGGAUUUAUUGGGUUUAAAGGGUGCGUAGGCGGGUUGUUAAGUCAGUUGUGAAAGUUUGCGGCUCAACCGUAAAAUUGCAGUUGAUACUGGCAUCCUUGAGUACAGUAGAGGUAGGCGGAAUUCGUGGUGUAGCGGUGAAAUGCUUAGAUAUCACGAAGAACUCCGAUUGCGAAGGCAGCCUGCUGGACUGUAACUGACGCUGAUGCUCGAAAGUGUGGGUAUCAAACAGG
rnacentral:rRNA from 1 species